UGAGGAAUAUUGGGCAAUGCCCGCAAGGGUGACCCAGCAACGCCGCGUGGAGGAUGAAUGUCGUAAGAUUGUAAACUCCUGUUAGAGGGGAAGAAUAGUACCGGUUGGACCGGUAUAUGACUGUACCCUCAGAGAAAGCCCCGGCUAACUACGUGCCAGCAGCCGCGGUAAUACGAAGGGGGCUAGCGUUGCUCGGAAUCACUGGGCGUAAAGGGUGCGUAGGCGGGUCUUUAAGUCAGGGGUGAAAUCCUGGAGCUCAACUCCAGAACUGCCUUUGAUACUGAGGAUCUUGAGUUCGGGAGAGGUGAGUGGAACUGCGAGUGUAGAGGUGAAAUUCGUAGAUAUUCGCAAGAACACCAGUGGCGAAGGCGGCUCACUGGCCCAAUACUGACGCUGAGGCACGAAAGCGUGGGGAGCAAACA
rnacentral:rRNA from 1 species